rnacentral:lncRNA from 1 species
UUGAGAACCUACAUCAGUUUGGUUGCUUUCCUGAUGAUUCACAUCCUCCAUAUUUUUCUCUCGAUGAAUGCUGCUCUAUCAACAGUAUUAAGGAAGUGGUAAGUUGUGUUUGAUUUCUAAGAUUUCCAAUCUAUCUUGGUUACUUUGCAUUGCAGCAAUAUUCUUUCCAUAAAAUAGUUUGCUCUGAUAGUUCCCUUGCCCAAAAAGGGGAUAUCUGUUUUAUUCUUGUCUACUGUGGAAUAUGCAUAAGUGUGGCUCUGUGUAUUCUCGCACACAGGUUUGACCCUUGUCUCUAAACUUGUAUUUUUAUUGUACGGAGUACUUAUCAUCGUUCUUACUCCGUAUUUCUGAAGGGAAUCCCCUCUUAUUUUACUGAGUUGUGAUGUAGUACGAGCUAAAUAUAUUGCUUCAUUAUAAUAAAAGGGUUGAUAUCAUUUUGUUGACAUUUCUAAAUUUUCCUACUGCAUUUCCUAUACUUAGGUUGUGGAUCAGCGCGACAAGGAAUGCUUGACAUUAAUUUUGCACAAACACAUAAACGAAGGAAGAUUUCACAGCAGCACUGGAAAUUCGCAGAACAAGCAAGCAGAUGAAAAUUACACAGUACAUACAUGGAAACUGAAGUGGUUUUCUGAAGAAACUCUUUUGAAGUUCAUUUCUGUACUUAAGGCUCUUUACUCUGGAGCAGUUUCUUCGCCGUUACCUGUAAAGUGUAUAUCCUGAUGUGUUAGUUCUUGUAGUCAUGUAGUGAUUUCAUUCAUUUGUUUGGGCGUUGUAUUUAGCUGUUAAUCUGUACAGUUUGUCCAUUAGUUCUCUAGGUUGCGCUUCCUUUAUUCGUUUGAUUUAUCAAAAAGUUCCUCAUCUUAAAGCUGUACAGAAUAGAGGUAAACUGAGUGAAUGAGUGUAAAUGCAAUUUUGGCAAUAAACUGUUUCGAACAAUUUG